CAAGCCAGUUCGCUGAUCUGCGUCCCAUUUUAGAGCAUCUGCGCACGUCCAGUGCGCGGGCUAACGCGCGAAUUUCAAAUUGUGCGUUAUGCUGCAGCGGUGCGUGAAUAUUUAUGAAUAACAAACAUAACCUGAAAAGCUGCAGAGCAGACAAAAAGGAAAAUAAGAAGAACGAGUGCUGCCCGAGUGAGAAUCCGUCGGCGCGAGCACCGAAGAGACAAAUAAAGUAGAGUAGAAGCCACAUAGAAGACUGAUCAAGAAUUUGGUUAAGACCAGAGCUCAGCAAUCUUGCAAAACUUUAACAUGUCCGUUGAAGCACUCAGCGAUUCCGAGCUUCGGACUAUAAACUUUGUGAUGAUGAGUAUGAAAAUUCUUGUCAAAAGGCUGAAGACACUCUUGGAAUAGUCGUGGAUCAGCAGGAUCUCGGACCUCGAUGGCUGCAAGGUAGAGCUAUCACUAUGAUACCAUACAGAUGACGAUAUCUCUGCAAGUGCAAACAAUAAAAAGAAGAAAGCCCCGUUUAAUACCGCAGAUAAACUUUAGCUAAUCCUAUAUGAUAUGCCACCGCCUGCAACAGUGCAAAUCCCAUCUAUGCUUGCAGCUCAAAACACAGCAAAGAAGCGAAUGUCUAGAAAUUUACAGGCUGCAGACUCAGAAGAUUUGGAUGUAAAUAAUGUUGUACCCAUAAUUCGUACACCUCCACCUUUAAAUAAAUUUCAAAGCAAGACCUGAUGUUAAACCUUGUUGGCUUGCCACCAGGAGAAUAUAAAUAACUAGAAUAUUGAUAGUAUUAGUUUCCGUAGUUUUUUAAUUUAUAGGGUACAUGGCUGGGCGUGAAACCUCUGAUGCUGUUGCCAUUGUGUAAGGAAUAAAAAGGUUUAGAAAAAUUCUUGGGAAAUACAGAUGCAAGUAAGGUUCCAGAAUACUUAAGGAAGGAUUUGAAGGAAUUCGCAGAAAUGUUAUAUAUAAUUGAAAAAGGUCUAUCGCAGUAUACAAAAGUAAAAAUCAACAAAGCUUGCAUACAGUAAAGGAAAAGAAGCUGAAAAGGGUAUUGAAAAGAUUUUCAAAUAAGUAUCUGUGUUCAAUGGAAAAUGAUGUUGUGAGAGACCGAAUACUUAAUAUAAAAGGUUAAUUUGCAUGAUGUAUGACCUGUUGCAAUGAAAACUCAGUAUCCAGGAGUAGCAGCUGGAAUUCAAAGUGUUAUUGAAAACUUGGUUGAAGUAAUGGAAGUGUGGAAUAUGUUUCCUGAAGGAAUGUUGAUUGACAAUGUUGUUGAAGUUGCUUAACGAGAAUUGUCUUGGGAAGCUGUUCAUGACAAGGAAGCUGAGUGCACUAGGUCAUAUAGAAAAUAUGCGUAACCCUAUUCAGAGUAUUAUGUACAAGAAAUCAUUG